AAAUUGAAGAGUUUGAUCAUGGCUCAGAUUGAACGCUGGCGGCAGGCCUAACACAUGCAAGUCGAGCGGUAACACAGAGAGCUUGCUCUCGGGUGACGAGCGGCGGACGGGUGAGUAAUGUCUGGGAAACUGCCUGAUGGAGGGGGAUAACUACUGGAAACGGUAGCUAAUACCGCAUAACGUCGCAAGACCAAAGUGGGGGACCUU
rnacentral:rRNA from 1 species